UACGAAGGGGGCUAGCGUUGCUCGGAAUCACUGGGCGUAAAGCGCACGUAGGCGGAUUGUUAAGUCAGGGGUGAAAUCCUGGAGCUCAACUCCAGAACUGCCUUUGAUACUGGCGAUCUCGAGUCCGGGAGAGGUGAGUGGAACUGCGAGUGUAGAGGUGAAAUUCGUAGAUAUUCGCAAGAACACCAGUGGCGAAGGCGGCUCACUGGCCCGGUACUGACGCUGAGGUGCGAAAGCCAGGGGAGCAAAGCGGGG
rnacentral:rRNA from 1 species